rnacentral:rRNA from 1 species
AUUGAACGCUGGCGGCAGGCUUAACACAUGCAAGUCGAGCGGGGUGAUGGUGCUUGCACUAUCACUUAGCGGCGGACGGGUGAGUAAUGCUUAGGAAUCUGCCUAUUAGUGGGGGACAACAUCUCGAAAGGGAUGCUAAUACCGCAUACGUCCUACGGGAGAAAGCAGGGGAUCACUUGUGACCUUGCGCUAAUAGAUGAGCCUAAGUCGGAUUAGCUCGUUGGUGGGGUAGAGGCCUACCAAGGCGACGAUCUGUAGCGGGUCUGAGAGGAUGAUCCGCCACACAGGGACUGAGACACGGCCCAGACUCCUACGGGAGGCAGCAGUGGGGAAUAUUGGACAAUGGGGGGAACCCUGAUCCAGCCAUGCCGCGUGUGUGAAGAAGGCCUUAUGGUUGUAAAGCACUUUAAGCGAGGAGGAGGCUCUUUUGGUUAAUACCCAAGAUGAGUGGACGUUACUCGCAGAAUAAGCACCGGCUAACUCUGUGCCAGCCGCCGCCGUAACAC